rnacentral:rRNA from 1 species
AGACAGACAGCGGGUGCUAAGGUCCGUUGUCGAGAGGGAAACAACCCAGACCACCAGCUAAGGCCCCCAAAUGAUGGCUAAGUGGGAAAGCAUGUGGGACGGCCAAAACAACCAGGAGGUUGGCUUAGAAGCAGCCAUCCUUUAAAGAAAGCGUAAUAGCUCACUGGUCUAAACAAGCUGUUCUGCGGCGAAAAUGUACCGGGGCUCAAGCCAUCUGCCGAAGCUGUGGGUGCGCAGCAAUGCGCGCGGUAGCGGAGCGUUCCCUAGGCCGGUGAAGCGGUAUCCGUGAGGGGCCGUGGAGGUAUGGGAAGUGCGAAUGCGGACAUGAGUAGCGACAAGGAGAGUGAGAAACUCUCCCGCCGAAAGUCCAAGGGUUCCUGCGCAAGGUUAAUCCGCGCAGGGUGAGCCGGCCCCUAAGGCGAGGGCGAAAGCCGUAGUCGAUGGGAAUGGGGUUAACACUCCCCAGCCUGCCAGAAGUGACGGACGUGAAGUUUGGUGCAUGCUUAUCGGAUUGUGUGUGCCACUGGAUCGUCCCAGGAAAUAGCUCUGGCGUAAGACCGUACCCUAAACCGACACAGGUGGACUGGUAGAGCAUACCAAGGCGCUUGAGAGAACGAUGCUGAAGGAACUAGGCAAAUUGCUCGCGUAACUUCGGGAUAAGCGAGACCCAUCUGUGGGCAACCAUGGGUGGGUGGCACAGACCAGGGGGUAGCGACUGUUUAGUAAAAACACAGGGCUCUGCGAAGUCGAGAGACGACGUAUAGGGUCUGACGCCUGCCCGGUGCCGGAAGGUUAAGAGGAGGUGUGCAAGCACUGAAUUGAAGCCCCGGUAAACGGCGGCCGUAACUAUAACGGUCCUAAGGUAGCGAAAUUCCUUGUCGGGUAAGUUCCGACCUGCACGAAUGGCGUAACGACUUCCCCACUGUCUCCAGCAUCGGCUCAGCGAAAUUGAAUUCCCCGUGAAGAUGCGGGGUACCCGCGGUCAGACGGAAAGACCCUAUGAACCUUUACUGCAGCUUUGCAGUGGCAUUAGGAGAGGGCUGUGUAGGAUAGGUGGGAGGCUUUGAAGCAUGGGCGCCAGCCUGUGUGGAGCCACCCUUGAAAUACCACCCUGACCUCUUCUGAUGUCUAACCGCGACCGGUCAGCCCGGUCCGGGACCCUGCAUGGUGGGCAGUUUGACUGGGGCGGUCGCCUCCCAAAGAGUAACGGAGGCGC